GUGCUCGCUUUGACAGCCCAUAUGCUAACAUCGGAACAAUACGGGGAAGAUUAGCAUGUCCCCCGUGCAAGGAUGACAAGCAAAUUUGUGAAGCGUUCCACAUUUUU
ensembl:snRNA U6 U6 spliceosomal RNA